rnacentral:rRNA from 1 species
AAUAGAUACCCUGGUAGUCCACGCCGUAAACGAUGUCGACUUGGAGGUUGUUCCCUUGAGGAGUGGCUUCCGGAGCUAACGCGUUAAGUCGACCGCCUGGGGAGUACGGCCGCAAGGUUAAAACUCAAAUGAAUUGACGGGGGCCCGCACAAGCGGUGGAGCAUGUGGUUUAAUUCGAUGCAACGCGAAGAACCUUACCUACUCUUGACAUCCAGAGAACUUAGCAGAGAUGCUUUGGUGUCUUCGGGAACUCUGAGACAGGUGCUGCAUGGCUGUCGUCAGCUCGUGUUGUGAAAUGUUGGGUUAAGUCCCGCAACGAGCGCAACCCUUAUCCUUUGUUGCCAGCGGUUCGGCCGGGAACUCAAAGGAGACUGCCAGUGAUAAACUGGAGGAAGGUGGGGAUGACGUCAAGUCAUCAUGGCCCUUACGAGUAGGGCUACACACGUGCUACAAUGGCGUAUACAAAGAGAAGCGACCUCGCGAGAGCAAGCGGACCUCAUAAAGUACGUCGUAGUCCGGAUUGGAGU